UUAGCUCCCUGGUCUUCUGACAUUGAGUGAGAGGUUGUUGCUAUGACACCACUCAGCCAGAUUUUCAAUCUCCCUCCUUUAUGCUGAUUAAUCACCACCUUUGAUUCAGCCUAUGACAGUAAGGUCAUCAGUAAACUUGGAUUUGGCAUUGAGCUGUGUUUAGCCACACAGUUUGCAUAAAGUGAGGAGAGCAGAGGACUAAGCUCAAAGCCUUGUGGUGUACCUGUGCUGAUGGAGAUCAUGAAGGAGAUGUUGCCAAUCUGAACUGACUGAUCUGCAAGUGAGAAAAUCAUGGAUCCAAUUGCAUAAGGAGGUGAUGUUCCACGGUUGAGGGAAGAGCCAAUGAGAUGACAUCUGCUGCGGACCUGUUGCUCUGGUCAGCAAAUUGAAGCGGAUCUAAGUCGCUUCUCAGGCAGGAACUGAUAUGUUUCAUCACCAACGUCUCAAAACAUUUCUUCACUGUGGGCUCGAGUUGGAGAGUGAAGACUUUGCCGAAGUACGGGAACCCGCAGGAUUGAGUAAAGUUGGCGUCGUUCGGCGGUUUUAUAAAGGAUCAACCUUAUUGAAUCUUCGUUCAGGAAUAGUGACCUGCAUCUGAGCUAACCCCUGCAAGAUCAGGAGGGUUUGUGCAGUGUUCACCUUCCAGCAGCAAAAGGUUUGACAAGAAGCUCAGAGACCUCGGCCUUCACCCUGCCUUGUGCACCUGGAUCCUGGACUUCUUGUCAGAUCGCCAGCAGGUGGUUGACGCGAGCCCUUGACAAGAGCUUAUUCGCCUCAGUUUCUUCUCGUAACCGGAACCAUAAUAAAAGUCAGUCUCCAGACAAUUUGAUUCAUUCCUCAUGAUGUCAAGAAACAGCUGAAAGCUUUAGAUAUGGCAAAGACAAUGGUAACUCUUUUCCCUCCUACCAUCUGGCAAAAGGCACCAAAGUAUUCGGGCUCUCACGACAAGACUGUGUAACAGUUUCUUCCCCCAAGUCAUCAGACUCCUCAAUACCCAGAGCCUGGAUUGACACCAACCUACUGCCCUCUACUGUGCCUACUGUCUUUAUUGUACUGCCUAUUAAUCAUACUGCCUGCACUGUUUUGUGCACUUUAUGCAGUCCUGUGUAGGUCUGUAGUCUAGUGUAAUUUUUUUGUUGUUUCACGUAGUUUCAGUUUAGUUUUUAUAU